rnacentral:lncRNA from 1 species
UUCAGCAUGAAGUGAAAUCUCUAAUAAGUUUGCUCCUAUCGAUGUAAAGGAGCAUGGUUUAAGUAGUUGGAAUAUGGAUGUUUAUUAAUUAAGUUGAUAGUAGGGGAGAAAAACCCAGCUGGGAUUCUUAUUUUUGCUCCUCUUUUAAUUUUUUCUCUGGGAAAACCCUUCCAUCCCAUUAUUUAAUAAAUCCAACCAAAUUCUCUACUGAAGACCAA